GACGAACGCUGGCGGCGUGCUUAACACAUGCAAGUCGAACGGAAAGGCCCUGCUUGCCGGGUACUCAAGUGGCGAACGGGUGAGUAACACGUGGGUGAUCUGCCCUGCACUUCGGGAUAAGCCUGGGAAACUGGGUCUAAUACCGGAUAGGAGCCAUUUUUAGUGUGAUGGUUGGAAAGUUUUUUCGGUGUAGGAUGAGCUCGCGGCCUAUCAGCUUGUUGGUGGGGUAAUGGCCUACCAAGGCGGCGACGGGUAGCCGGCCUGAGAGGGUGGACGGCCACAUUGGGACUGAGAUACGGCCCAGACUCCUACGGGAGGCAGCAGUGGGGAAUAUUGCACAAUGGGCGCAAGCCUGAUGCAGCGACGCCGCGGGGGGGAUGACGGCCUUCGGGUUGGAAACUCCUUUCGCUAGGGACGAAGCUUUUUGUGACGGUACCUAGAGAAGAAGCACCGGCUAACUACGUG
rnacentral:rRNA from 1 species